GACCGGUCCUGGAGGAAGAAGCUCGACGAUUUUGCAGGAUUACAGAAUUUGCUUGACUGAGCUUGCAAGCGAUGUGGUCGUCGAGGAAGGAGAAGUGUCUUUCCAUCUCCACAAGGGAUGGCGGAGCGGACUCCCUCGGCCAGGACCGGUGGAAGGCGAGGAGGUCUCUAGAAGACGAGAGCAUGGACGUGGCGGCCCCUUCGAAGACGAGAGCAGCGGCGGACGGCGGCCAAAGGUGGAGCUGGUAGCGGCGACCCCUCCGACGACGAGAGCAGCGGCGGACGGCGGCCAAAGGUGGAGCUUGUAGCGGCGACCCCUCCGACGACGAGCAGACGACGGCUAGAGGUGGUGCUGGUCGCGACGCCCCCUGGGCGUGGUCGGGGCGACCCCUCCGAUGGCGAGCAGAGCGGCGGGAGGUGGAGCUAGGCGCCGCGGCCGACGCCUGGAGGUGGAGCUAGGCGUGGCGGCUCCUGCAACAGCGACCAAAGUGGACGGUGGCGAAGAUUCGAAUUUGAAUUUCGAAAUCUAGGCCUAAUUUGCAGGGUAUUCAAUGUGUUAUGGAUUUUUUUGCAAAAUCCAUUUGUAGUGUGCGCGCAAAACUUAUUUUGGUUCGGAGUAUUAUUUUUGUCAAUAUGUAAUUACUUGUGAUUCAUCCAAAAUGUAGGUUGUUAAUGUGAUUUUUAACUACUCCAGGAUUAUUUACACGUUUUUUGAUUUGCUGGAAUUGUUUA